rnacentral:rRNA from 1 species
AUUGAACGCUGGCGGCAGGCCUAACACAUGCAAGUCGAGCGAGCGGCGGACGGGUGAGUAAUGUAUGGGGACUGCCCGAUCGAGGGGGUUAACUACUGGAAACGGUGGCUAAUACCGCAUACUAUCGGAUAACCCAUAUGGGAUUAGCUAGUAGUGGGGGUAAAGGCUCACCUGGGCGACGAUCUCUAGCUGGUCUGAGAGGAUGAUCAGCCAAACUGGGACUGAGACACGGCCCAGCUUCCAACGGAGGCAGCAGUGGGGAAUAUUGCACAAUGGGCGCAAGCCUGAUGCAGCAAUGCCGCGUGGAUGAAGAAGGCCUUAGGGUUUUAAACUACUUUCAGCGGGGAGGCGUUACCCGAAGAAGAAGCACCGGCUAACUCCGUGCCAGCAGCCGCGGUAAUUC